CAUUCCGAACGGCGGAUCACUUGGCUCGUAGAUCGUUGAAGAACGACGUGACACUCGAGAAUUGAUGUGAAUUGCAGACACACUGAACUUGAAUACUUGUUACGAAAUAAAGCAAAUGCGCCGCUCGGGCUUCGGCGCUUGGACUUGCACGGUC
rnacentral:rRNA from 1 species